rnacentral:rRNA from 1 species
UACGUAGGGUGCGAGCGUUAAUCGGAAUUACUGGGCGUAAAGCGUGCGCAGGCGGUUCGUUGUGUCGGUGGUGAAAUCCCCGGGCUUAACCUGGGAAUGGCCAUGGAAACUGGCGAACUGGAGUGUGGCAGAGGGGGGUGGAAUUCCGCGUGUAGCAGUGAAAUGCGUAGAGAUGCGGAGGAACACCGAUGGCGAAGGCAGCCCCCUGGGCUAGCACUGACGCUCAGGCACGAAAGCGUGGGGAGCAAACAG